rnacentral:rRNA from 1 species
UACGGAGGGUGCGAGCGUUGUCCGGAAUCACUGGGCGUAAAGGGCGCGUAGGCGGCCGAGCAAGGUCGCGGUGAAAGCCCGGGGCUCAACCCCGGGUCGGCCGUGGCAACUACUCGGCUCGAGCACUGUAGGGGCGGGUGGAAUUCCGGGUGUAGCGGUGGAAUGCGUAGAUAUCUGGAGGAACACCGGUGGCGAAGGCGGCAUCCUGGACCGGCAUUGACGCUGAGGCGCGAAAGCCAGGGGAGCAAACGGG